AAUGAACGCUGGCGGCGCGCCUAAUACAUGCAAGUCGAGCGAGAAGACGUAGCAAUACGUUUGUAAAGCGGCGAACGGGUGAGGAAUACAUGGGUAACCUACCCUCGAGUGGGGAAUAACUAGCCGAAAGGUUAGCCAAUACCGCGUACGCUCCUUGGACUUCGGUUCAGGGAGGAAAGCGAUACCGUGGGUAUCGCGCUCUUGGUUGGGCUCAUGUCCUAUCAGCUUGUUGGUGAGGAACGGCUCACCAAGGCUUCGACGGGUAGCUGGUCUGAGAGGACGAUCAGCCACACUGGCACUGCGACACGGGCCAGACUCCUACGGGAGGCAGCAGUAAGGAAUAUUGCGCAAUGGGCGAAAGCCUGACGCAGCGACGCCGCGUGGGGGAUGAAGGUCUUCGGAUUGUAAACCCC
rnacentral:rRNA from 1 species